rnacentral:rRNA from 1 species
CCUACGGGCGGCAGCAGUGAGGAAUAUUGGUCAAUGGUCGGGAGACUGAACCAGCCAAGCCGCGUGAAGGAUGAAGGUACAGAGUAUCGUAAACCUCUUUUGUCAGGGAACAAAGGCGGGGACGUGUCCCCGGAUGAGUGUACCUGAAGAAAAAGCAUCGGCUAACUCCGUGCCAGCAGCCGCGGUAAUACGGAGGAUGCGAGCGUUAUCCGGAUUUAUUGGGUUUAAAGGGUGCGCAGGCGGUCUUUUAAGUCAGCGGUAAAAGCCCGGGGCUCAACCCCGGCCCGCCGUUGAAACUGGCAGUCUCGAGUUGGAGUGAAGCAUGCGGAAUGUGCGGUGUAGCGGUGAAAUGCAUAGAUAUCGCGCAGAACUCCGAUUGCGAAGGCAGCAUGCCGGCUCCACACUGACGCUGAGGCACGAAAGCGUGGGUAUCGAACAGGAUUAGAUACCCGAGUAGUC